UCUUUCUGACUUCUCAGGGAGUGGCGCAGGAUGAAGAAUGGAAGCUCAUGGCCUAGAACAGACAAAAUGAAGACAGGAAAUUGGUGUUUUAGUAUUUCAUUCUCAAAGAAUCAUGUAGGAGGCAAAAAUAAAACAGUAUUAAAAUACAUUACUUUCAAUUAGUUACAUACACUCACCAAUCACUUUAUUAGCUACACCUGUACACUACCUGUGUGUGUGUGUGUGUGUGUGUGUGUGUGUGUGUGUGUGUGUGUGUGUGAGCGUGUAUUUAUCACUUUGUGGGGACCAAAUGUCCCCAUAAGGAUAGUAAAACCCGAAAUUUUUGACCUUGUGGGGACAUUUUGUCGGUCCCCAUGAGGAAAACAGCUUAUAAAUCAUACUAAAUUAUGUUUUUUGAACAUGUAAAAAUGCAGAAAGUUUUCUGUGAGGGUUAGGUUUAGGGGUAGGGUUAGGUUUAGGGGAUAGAAUAUAAAGUUUGUACAGUAUAAAAACCAUUAUGUCUAUGGAAAGUCCCCAUAAAACAUGGAAACACAACAUGUGUGUGUGUGUGUGUGUGUGUGUGUGUGUGUGUGUGUGUGUGUGUGU